GGCUCGUUUCGCGGAAGAUUAGGUCGUUAGCUGGUUGUCUACGAUACUGUUAUUAGAAAGAUGUGUCAUUUGUGUUUUAAGAACGUUUAGCUCAGGAGUUAUUGAUCAGGUAAGUUUGAAUCUGUGAAUAUGUUGCCAACUUUACCGAACUUCGACGCAUAGUGCAAUAUUUUAAUCAGUUUUUAUAAUCAUAAUCGUAGGCGUCGUCUAAAAGCUCUAAAAUGCUAUUUGCUAUUUUAAACGGAUUCAUUAGGACCAGCGCUUAAAGUGACCCAACCCCUCCCAGCGCCAUUUGAACGUUAGUAACUUUAUGUUCGUCUGCACUUUUUCCCUCUUCAAGCACUGGUUAUUACGCCUGUAUAAUGAAAUUCGCUUAACUAACAUUAAUUGGACUGCACGUUUUACUUUCAGAUAUAAUCACACUGAUGAUCUGAACAAUGCGAGAGAGAGGACUAGAUGUUCCAUGAAGUGGAUCAGACAGCCUUGCCCUCUGAAGUAGACCAUGCCAAACUUCCAAGUACACCCUGCGUAAUUGUGUGUGGAAGUUCCCCUUUGACUGCAGAGAACUUUGAUUUCUGUCGACCAAGUCAUAGUUAACAGCCACAUCACCAUCUUCUGCGAUGCUCUGAAGUUUGAUGUUUGCCUCAUACUACUGCUUGAAUAUUUCAUACUCAGGAGACCAAGGAGCAACGCUAGAGUUCGUGCAAAGAUGCCUUUUUAAGAUAAACCCCGAGAAGGGAUCGAAAGUGGAGAAGACCACAUCGAGAAAGCAAUCGGC